AGAUCGAAUUCAGACAUUGAAACCAAACUCCAAGAAGAGAAAGUUGCUUCGUUUUCUCAUACAGCUUCCAAUUCAAAGUGGCUCUGCUCUAGGAUCCAUGCAACAGACUGGCUGCUGCAGGAGCUCUAUUCAGCCCCAAGUGUUUUGUAGACGGCUUUUUCAAAUACUUCUGAGUUUAGAGCAGAGUGAUCUCUGACCAAAACAGUUUCUUAUACAUCUGGAAAACCAACCUGGUUGAGCCAAGGAAGAAGUAAGGCCAAAAAGAAAAUGAAAAGACAUGUGAGGGCAUAUCAAAACAUCAUCUUUGAUCUUUCAGAACCAGAAGUUGUCCCUCAAGAAUCCCACCAAGAGUCUCAUGCCUCCACUGGAACAACUUCUUUUUUGUAUGUUGUCCUUUCCUGAAGAAUUAUGGAAGAUUCAAGAGAGAGAGAGAGAGCAAGAGACGUGAGUGCAGGUAAAAAAGAAGAAGAUCAAGUUGCAUACGUUGAACUGCAUUAAAGUACUUAAAUGCUUCCACCGGUUCCUUUUGUGUUGUUUUUAUUUUGGAUGAAGAAUAGAGAGCUCCAUCAAUAGUUGUGUUGUAAGAAAAGAGAUUCGCUUAGAAAAGUGGGUUGAUGUGUAAAUUUUGGUUAACAAUUCUAUUUUAACACAAAUGUAAAAGAUGAACUAAAUAAAAUGUAUAAUAAAAAAAGAUAGUUUAACGAAGCAA